GACGAACCGUCCAAACGUUAUUCGGAAUUACUGGGCUUAAAGGGCGCGUAGGCGGUCGACCAAGUCAGGGGUGAAAUCCUGCAGCUUAACUGUAGAAGUGCCUUUGAUACUGGUCGUCUCGAGGGAGGUAGGGGUGUGUGGAACUUCCAGUGGAGCGGUGAAAUGCGUUGAUAUUGGAAGGAACGCCGGAGGCGAAAGCGACGCACUGGACCUCUUCUGACGCUGAGGCGCGAAAGCUAGGGGAGCAAACGGG
rnacentral:rRNA from 1 species